GACGAACGCUGGCGGCGUGGAUUAGGCAUGCAAGUCGAACGGUAUCAUCCUUUCGGGGGUGAGAGAGUGGCGAACUGGUGAGUAACACGUAGGUUAUCUACCCUCAAGACGGGGACAACCCAGGGAAACUUGGGCUAAUACCGGAUGUGAGCAACUUUUAGUUGUUUGAAAGGUGGCGUAAGCUGUCGCUUGGGGAUGAGCCUGCGUCCUAUUAGUUAGUUGGUGAGGUAACGGCUCACCUAGGCAAUGAUAGGUAGGCGGCCUUAACGGGUGGUCGCCCACACUGGGAUUGAGAUACGGCCCAGACUCCUACGGGAGGCAGCAGUCGAGAAUAGUCUACAAUGGUCGGAAGACUGAUAGUGCGACGCCGCGUGAACGAUGAAUCCCUUCGGGGUGUAAAGUUCUUUUAUAUGUGAGCAGUGCUUCUUAUAUUAACAGUAUGGGGAGAGCGAUAUUAGCAUAUGAAUAAGCAACGGCUAACUCCGUGCCAGCAGCCGCGGUAAAACGU
rnacentral:rRNA from 1 species